rnacentral:rRNA from 1 species
CACCGGCGGACGGCUCAGUAACACGUCGGUAACCUACCCUCGGGAGGGGGAUAACCCCGGGAAACUGGGGCUAAUUCCCCAUAGGCCUGAGGUACUGGAAGGUCCUCAGGCCGAAAGGGACUUAUGUCCGCCCGAGGAUGGGCCGGCGGCCGAUUAGGUAGUUGGUGGGGUAAUGGCCCACCAAGCCGAAGAUCGGUACGGGCUGUGAGAGCAGGAGCCCGGAGAUGGACACUGAGACACGGGUCCAGGCCCUACGGGGCGCAGCAGGCGCGAAACCUCCGCAAUGCGGGAAACCGCGACGGGGGGACCCCGAGUGCCGUGGCAACGCCACGGCUUUUCCGGAGUGUAAAAAGCUCCGGGAAUAAGGGCUGGGCAAGGCCGGUGGCAGCCGCCGCGGUAAUACCGGCGGCCCGAGUGGUGGCCGCUAUUAUUGGGCCUAAAGCGUCCGUAGCCGGGCCCGUAAGUCCCUGGCGAAAUCCCACGGCUCAACCGUGGGGCUUGCUGGGGAUACUGCGGGUCUUGGGACCGGGAGAGGCGGGGGGUACCCCUGGGGUAGGGGUGAAAUCCUAUAAUCCCAGGGGGACCGCCAGUGGCGAAGGC